rnacentral:ncRNA from 1 species
AACUAUGACUCAAAAGUUGGUUUAUUUUUGAAAUAAGAGGGUCCAGCGGCUUCUCUCGCAGAAGUACCGCUAAUGGGGUUACCCAGUAGCUACCCUGUAGCGAACGGUCGAGGCUACCCUGUAGCCGCCCUGUAACACCGUCAAAUUGCGGGGACGUCCUAAGGCCCACUGCUACCAAGCCCGCGUCGAAAGGCGUGGGUGGCCCGGGAGAGACACCUGGGGUACGGUAAAAACGCGGUGGGAUGGAACAAUGGGCAACCUGCAGCCAAGUCCUACGGCCGGUGGCCACGGAUGCAGUUCAACGACUAGACGGCGGUGGGUUACCCCGGAGCUACCCUGUGGCUGCGCGGGUGGCUUAAGAUAUAGUCUGGCUGGCGUGCGAAAGCGGCCG